CAGUCGCCGCGGUAACACGUAGGGUGCGAGCGUUAAUCGGAAUUACUGGGCGUAAAGCGUGCGCAGGCGGUUGUGUAAGACAGGUGUGAAAUCCCCGGGCUUAACCUGGGAACUGCGCUUGUGACUGCACAGCUAGAGUAUGGCAGAGGGGGGUGGAAUUCCACGUGUAGCAGUGAAACGCGUAGAGAUGUGGAGGAACACCGAUGGCGAAGGCAGCCCCCUGGGCCAAUACUGACGCUCAUGCACGAAAGCGUGGGGAGCAAACAGGAUUAGAUACCCGAGUAGUCCCUGUCUCUUAUAC
rnacentral:rRNA from 1 species